rnacentral:rRNA from 1 species
AGAGUUUGAUCAUGGCUCAGGACGAACGCUGGCGGCGUGCUUAACACAUGCAAGUCGAACGGUAAGGCCCUUCGGGGUACACGAGUGGCGAACGGGUGAGUAACACGUGGGUAAUCUGCCCUGCACAUCGGGAUAAGCCUGGGAAACUGGGUCUAAUACCGAAUAGGACCACAGGACACAUGUCCUGUGGUGGAAAGCUUUUGCGGUGUGGGAUGGGCCCGCGGCCUAUCAGCUUGUUGGUGGGGUGAUGGCCUACCAAGGCGACGACGGGUAGCCGGCCUGAGAGGGUGUCCGGCCACACUGGGACUGAGAUACGGCCCAGACUCCUACGGGAGGCAGCAGUGGGGAAUAUUGCACAAUGGGCGAAAGCCUGAUGCAGCGACGCCGCGUGGGGGAUGACGGCCUUCGGGUUGUAAACCUCUUUCACCAUCGACGAAGGUCCGGGUUUUCUCGGGCUGACGGUAGGUGGAGAAGAAGCACCGGCCAACUACGUGCCAGCAGCCGCGGUAAUACGUAGGGUGCGAGCGUGGUCCGGAAUUACUGGGCGUAAAGAGCUCGUAGGUGGUUUGUCGCGUUGUUCGUGAAAUCUCACGGCUUAACUGUGAGCGUGCGGGCGAUACGGGCAGACUUGAGUACUGCAGGGGAGACUGGAAUUCCUGGUGUAGCGGUGGAAUGCGCAGAUAUCAGGAGGAACACCGGUGGCGAAGGCGGGUCUCUGGGCAGUAACUGACGCUGAGGAGCGAAAGCGUGGGGAGCGAACAGGAUUAGAUACCCUGGUAGUCC